UACGUAGGGGGCAAGCGUUGUCCGGAAUCAUUGGGCGUAAAGAGCGUGUAGGCGGUCCGAUAAGUCCGCUCUGAAAGCCCGGGGCUCAACCCCGGGAGGCGGGCGGAUACUGUCGGGCUAGAGUCCGGAAGAGGCAAGUGGAAUUCCUGGUGUAGCGGUGAAAUGCGCAGAUAUCAGGAGGAACACCGAUGGCGAAGGCAGGUCUCUGGGCAUUAACUGACGCUGAGAAGCGAAAGCGUGGGUAGCGAACAGG
rnacentral:rRNA from 1 species